GAUGAAGGUGUUUAUGAUGCAGCUCAGGAUGGACUGAAGGAUGACCGUCAGCACGGCCACAGAGCAUUCUUCCGUGACACAACGGUAACCGUACCCGAUGGUGGUUUGGGUCUCAAGGGAGAAUAAAAACGCCGCCGUAAAUGAAUGCACGUUGUCCACGCACGGGGUGAUGUCUGGAUCGCUUAAUAGGUCUCCGUGAUGAAGGGCUAUGAGCCAAAAUAUGGAGCCGAAUAUCAACCAGGAGAGAAUGGAACAUUUUAAACCUGAAAUAAAAUCUCCUGCUGCUGUGGGCACAGACCGAAACAGCAAUGUGAGCCUACGUAACAGUGUGUGAAGGACAAGAACACGAAAACCAGAGACUUGUAUCUAUCUUUGUUUUUACCACCUUAGCAAAAUACUAUCGCAUUACAAAUAUUUUCAGCUUAUUGAAUUUAUAUGAAAUUUGAGAAUAGAACUUGAUGUUUCUCAAAAGGUUUCCGUGAGUAGCAAAUGGCAGUCACCAACACCGUGGGUAUUCUCUAGUUUUUACUGUAAUUUCCUAACCUGAAUAAGUAUCUAUACUCCCAUAGCUCAUCGUACUGAGUAUUCACCUAGUCUGUAGAGAUGGAUGAUUAAGCUGUGAUGUGAAAAGAGGAUGUGAACUAAGUAAGAGAAUGAUUGCUUCCCAGGAGGAGGAAAACCCACCAUCAAAAGCUCUACAACCCAACGAUGUAAGGAACAACUCCAUGGAGGGAGAUAUUAGAGAGAUGUAGAAGAAGCCUCCACUCACUAUAAAGUUGCUGGAGCAGAAUCAUUUGAGAUAACGGUGACCAGUCAGAAUUCCACAGUCAAGAUCGAAUUAAAGAAAUUACAUAAAGUUUUAGAGGCCAUUAUUUUAGGCCAGGGCAUGGGGUCAGGGGGCCAGUGAUGAAGCAGCACACACUGAAGUGUUCAAGAAGGGCAUAGCUACCACUUCAUAGGAGACGGUCUCAGCCAUUGCUUCUUGGUCUUCUGCUUCUGUACAGAGUUCCUUAUAAACAUUCUUUGAUUCCCUCA